UGCGAGGUCCCGUGCGACGUCGCCCCGUGAACCUGGUCAGGGCCGGAAGGCAGCAGCCAUAAGCGGCACGCGGCGGGCGCCACGGAUCAGCCGCGCAUCG
rnacentral:SRP_RNA from 1 species